rnacentral:rRNA from 1 species
UUACGGCUCAGUAACACGUCGGUAAUCUGCCUUAAGGUCAGGGAUAACCUCGGAAACCUGAGGACAAACCUGAUAAGGGAUAGACUCUGGGAUGAACUAUCCCCAAAACUCGUGCCUUAAGAUGAGCCGGCGGCUGAUUAGCUAGUUGGUGAGGUAAUGGCUCACCAAGGCCAAGAUCAGUAGGGGCCUUGAGAGAGGUAGCCCCGAGAAGGACACUGAGAUACUGGUCCUAGCCCUACGGGGUGCAGCAGGCGCGAAAACUCUACAAUGCACGCAAGUGUGAUGGGGGAAUCCCAAGUGCCCAUACAUUGUAUGGGCUUUUGCCAAGAGUAAAAACCUUGGAGAAUAAGUGGUGGGCAAGACUGGUGCCAGCAGCCGCGGUAACCCCAGCGCCACUAGUGGUGAUCACUUUUAUUGGGCCUAAAGCGUCCGUAGCCUGUUUUGUAAAUCUCCUGUGAAAUCUUCUCGCUUAACUUGAAGGCGUGCAGGAGACACUGCUUAACUUGAGACCGGAAGGAGUCAGAGGUAUUCCGUGGGGAGCGGUAAAAUGCUAUAAUCCUCGGAGGACCACCUGUGGCGAAGGCGUCUGACUAGUACGGAUCUGACGGUGAGGGACGAAAGCCAGGGGAGCAAACCGGAUUAGAUACCCGAGUAGUCCUGGCCGUAAACUCUGCGGGCUAGGUGUUGCACAUUCUUCGUGAGUGUGCAGUGUCG